GACGAACCGUGCGACCGUUAUUCGGAUUCACUGGGCUUAAAGGGCGCGUAGGCGGGCCGUCAAGUCGGGGGUGAAAUCUUUCAGCUCAACUGGAAAAGAGCCUUCGAUACUGACGGCCUCGAGGGAGGUAGGGGCGUGCGGAACUUCCGGUGGAGCGGUGAAAUGCGUAGAGAUCGGAAGGAACGCCGGUGGCGAAAGCGGCGCGCUGGACCUCUUCUGACGCUGAGGUGCGAAAGCGUGGGGAGCAAACAGG
rnacentral:rRNA from 1 species